rnacentral:rRNA from 1 species
AAUUAUGAGGAUUUGAUCCUGGUCCAGGAUGAACGCUGGCGGCGUGGAUAAGGCAUGCAAGUCGAACGCUUUGAUUUAUUUCAAGGAGUGGCAAACGGGUUAGUAACACCUUGGUACCUACCCUGAAGACGGGAAUAGCCAAUCGAAAGGUUGGGUAAUACCCGAUAGUCUCGAAAGAGUAAAUGAUUUUUCGCUUCAGGAUGGGCCUAGGCUCGAUCAGCUAGUUGGUGAGGUAACGGCUCACCAAGGCAACGACCGAUAGGGGGGCUGAGAGGCCGAUCCCCAACACUGGGACUGAGACACUGCCCAGACACCUACGGGUGGCUGCAGUCGAGAAUAUUCCACAAUGCACGAAAGUGUGAUGGAGCGACGCCGCGUGUAGGAUGAAGGCCUUCGGGUCGUAAACUACUUUUCUACGGGAAGAACCUUCGGGUGACGGUACCGUAGGAAUAAGGAGCUGCAAACCUCGUGAAGAGGUAUGAUUAAGCUCAUACUCAACAGCAAUUAAUCCUCGAUAUUACUGGCGCGACUCUGAAUGGAAACAUUCAGAUGAACAUUCGGCUUAUAUGCGGGAAAUCUUUAAAGAGCUGCGUCUUUUUAUAAGACACUUUAAAGACGAUCCGCAGGGAAGUCAUAAUUGACCCCUCAGAGACUGAUUCCCUUAUGGGAUGAUAUAAAAGCUUAAAUAGCUUUUAUAAGACGCCGAACACCCUAGCUGAAAGGCGGGUGAUGAUAUAGUCCGAUCCUUGCAGUGAUGCAAGCAAGAAAAAUGGCCAGCAGCAGCGGUAAUACGAGGGCUUCAAGCGUUAUCCGGAAUUAUUGGGCGUAAAGCGCACGUAGGUGGCCAAGUGCGUCUCAUGUAAAAUCCCGACUGCUCAACAGCGGGCCUGCAUGGGAAACGACUUGGCUUGAGGGUGUAAGAGGUUACUAGAACUCACGGUGUAGGGGUGAAAUCCGUUGAUAUCGUGGGGAAUACCAAAGGCGAAGGCAUGUAACUGGUACACUCCUGACACUCAGGUGCGAAAGCGUGGGGCGCGAACGAGAUUAGAUACCUCGGUAGUCCACGCCGUAAACGAUGUUCACUAGCCGUUUCGAGUAUCGACCCUCGGAGUGGCGUAGCUAACGCAUUAAGUGAACCGCCUGGGAAGUACGGCCGCAAGGCUAAAACUCAAAGGAAUAGACGGGGACUCGCACAAGCGGUGGAGCGUGAGGUUUAAUUCGACGAUAAGCGGAAAACCUUACCCAGACUUGACAUUCUAGUGACCGCUUCUGGAAACAGAAGCUUCUCUCACGAGCACUAGAACAGGUGUUGCACGGUUGUCGUCAGCUCGUGCUUUGAAGUGUUCCCUUAAGUGGGGUAACGAGCGCAACCCAUACUGUGUGUUAUACGUGUCACACAGGACUGCCCCGCCCAGAGCUAAGAACAGCAAUGUUGUUAGUUGUGGGCGGGGAGGAAGGAGUGGAUGACGCCAAAUCAGCGUGGCCCUUUGAUGUCUGGGGCAACACUCGCGCUACAAUGGUAGGUACAAUAGGUCGCCAAACCGCAAGGUGGAGCUAAUCCUAAAAACCUGCCUCAGUUCAGAUUGGAGUCUGCAAUUCGACUCCAUGAAGUCGGAAUCGCUAGUAAUCGCGGAUCAGCAUGCCGCGGUGAAUACGUUCUCGAGUCUUGUACUCGGGUCGCCAUGCGAUCCUUA